UACGUAGGGAGCAAGCGUUGUCCGGAAUCAUUGGGCGUAAAGCGCGCGUAGGUGGCUUCGUAAGUCCGUUGUGAAAGUCAAAGGCUCAACCUUUGAAAGCCGAUGGAUACUGCGGAGCUAGAGUACGGAAGAGGCGAGUGGAAUUCCUGGUGUAGCGGUGGAAUGGCGCAGAUAUCAGGAGAACACCGGUGGCGAAGGCGGGGUC
rnacentral:rRNA from 1 species